GGUUAAUAACGUGCCCAAGAUCUCACAGCUGGCAUGGAGAAUGUGCAUUUACAUGGAGACAGGAGAUGGACUAUGGUAUAUGAAGAGCAGCAAGAAAAAAACUAUUUGGCCAGACCACUGAGUGCAUUGAAAGUGCCUAAAAUCAGAAAAGUGAUUUGAACAGAUUGUGAGGGGGUUUUAAGAAACAGGCCGACAGCCAAAGGACAAGCAGUUUCGGUGGUUCUUCUGGACACAGGGCUUCAUGACAUCAUUUUGCUUUGUUUUUUUAUGUUUUGAGGAAGACCUACCAAGAGAACAAAGUUAGGUGGUUCUGACAAUUCGGCUAAAUUUUGUAGACUAUCCAGGCUGUGGAGCAGCAGAAAAGUAAGAAAAGCCACGUUUUGGCCAUGAGGCAAACUAUCACACCCUCCAUUAGCAAAAAUUGUAUAUCAUUAUCUAAGUGUGAAUAAGGAAAAAGGAAGAAGGUGAAUAAAUAAAUUUAAUGCAAUAAUAUUUAUCAAAUGGAUACUAUGUAUCAUGGUACCAUGAUAGGCAUUAAAAAUGUAGAGAAAAAAGUAUGAUAAAAAAAAAUAAAUGACACCCAAUUUAGGGAAAUACCAUGUCCAAAGUGUAACAGUUUAGACUUCAGAAAAAUUGAAGAUCAGAAAGGAUAAAAGCAGAGACACCCAAUUGUAAAGAUUAAACUCUUUUAGAUAUAAAAAAACUAUUCCAUAUUUGGAAAUGUUUUGAGACUUAAAUAGCUUAAAUAGUUCUGUUCAAAGUCAAGGGACUGGAAGAGUCCCCAAAGGGAGACUUCUAGACUUCUACAAUAAGGACCACUCACUGCCUUUGCUGAAAGAGCAGCAUUUCAACAGAAAAGAACACAAAACUACCCAGUUGAUCCAGAGGCUGGAGAUGAGGGGAAGUACAGCUAUUUAUCAAAGACCAAGCAAAAGGAUUCUAUGCAUUUACUCAUUUAGUAAAGGUGCUAUAUCCUAUAAGGGCCCAGGAUCUAAGUAACCUGUUUGAAUCAGUCCAGCAGCAGCAGCCCAAUGGCAGAACGACCUUGAAGAAUAUCCAAGAAGUGAAGGUUAUGUUGCUAUCUUGGAGAAGGGGAAGGAGCAAAAUUUUAGCCACAGCCAACAGGAGGUCAGUAAUAACAUGAAUAAGAAAUCAAUGUGUUUUUAGGGGGGAUAGGUGAGGUAGGGAUGGAA